CUACGGGUCGCUCCAGUGGGGAAUAUUGCACAAUGGGCGCAAGCCUGAUGCAGCCAUGCCGCGUGUAUGAAGAAGGCCUUCGGGUUGUAAAGUACUUUCAGCGGGGAGGAAGGGAGUAAAGUUAAUACCUUUGCUCAUUGACGUUACCCGCAGAAGAAGCACCGGCUAACCCCGUGCCAGCAGCCGCGGUAAUACGGAGGGUGCAAGCGUUAAUCGGAAUUACUGGGCGUAAAGCGCACGCAGGCGGUUUGUUAAGUCAGAUGUGAAAUCCCCGGGCUCAACCUGGGAACUGCAUCUGAUACUGGCAAGCUUGAGUCUCGUAGAGGGGGGUAGAAUUCCAGGUGUAGCGGUGAAAUGCGUAGAGAUCUGGAGGAAUACCGGUGGCGAAGGCGGCCCCCUGGACGAAGACUGACGCUCAGGUGCGAAAGCGUGGGGAGCAAACAGGAUUAGAUACCCCUGUAGUC
rnacentral:rRNA from 1 species